rnacentral:rRNA from 1 species
UGGGGAAUUUUGGACAAUGGGCGCAAGCCUGAUCCAGCCAUGCCGCGUGAGUGAUGAAGGCCUUAGGGUUGUAAAGCUCUUUUGCCGGGGACGAUAAUGACGGUACCCGGAGAAUAAGUCCCGGCUAACUUCGUGCCAGCAGCCGCGGUAAUACGAAGGGGACUAGCGUUGUUCGGAUUUACUGGGCGUAAAGGGCGCGUAGGCGGCAAUUCAAGUCAUCUGUGAAAUCUCCGGGCUUAACUCGGAACGGUCAGAUGAUACUGCUUUGCUAGAGUGCAGAAGGGGCAAUCGGAAUUCUUGGUGUAGCGGUGAAAUGCGUAGAUAUUGGGAAGAACACCAGUGGCGAAGGCGGCUAACUGGUCCGGUACUGACGCUGAGGUGCGAAAGCGUGGGGAGCAAACAGGAUUAGAUACCCAUGUAGUCCCUGAGCGGGCUGGCAAGGCGCAU